rnacentral:rRNA from 1 species
ACGGGGUGCAGCAGGCGCGAAAACUGACCAAUGCGCGAAAGCGUGAGUCGGUCAAUCCGAGUGUAGACCCAUCGGUUUACUUUUGUCAUGUGUACAACGCUUGGCGAAUAAUGUGAGGGCAAGACUGGUGCCAGCCGCCGCGGUAAAACCAGCUCAUAGAGUGGUGAUCAUGAUUAUUUGGCUUAAAGUGUGCGUAGCAGGGAAUUCUAAGUCCUCUGUGAAAUGUCAGGUCUUAAGCUUGACACGUGCAGAGGAUACUGGAAUCCUUGGGACUGGGAUAGGUGUAAUGUACGGUUUGGGUAGGGGUGAAAUCCGAUAAUCCAAGCCGGACAACCGGUGGCGAAGGCGUUACACUGGAACAGGUCCGACUGUGAGGCACGAAAGCUAGGGUCGCGAGCCGGAUUAGAUACCCGGGUAGUCCUAUGCUGUAAACGAUGCUCACUAAGUGUUAGGUAAUGCAAGACAUUCUCUAGUGCCGAAGCGAAAGCGUUAAGUGAGCCGCCUGGGAAGUACGUUCGCAAGAAUGAAACUUAAAGGAAUUGGCGGGG